AUGCAACGCGAAGAACCUUACCUGGUCUUGACAUCCCGGAGACCCUUAGGAAACUAGGGGGUGGCUUCCAUCUGGAAGGAAUCUGGAGACAGGUGCUGCAUGGCUGUCGUCAGCUCGUGUCGUGAGAUGUUGGGUUAAGUCCCGCAACGAGCGCAACCCUUGCCUUUAGUUGCCAGCAGUUCGGCUGGGCACUCUAAAGGGACUGCCGGUGUUAAACCGGAGGAAGGUGGGGAUGACGUCAAGUCCUCAUGGCCUUUAUGACCAGGGCUACACACGUACUACAAUGGCCGAUACAAAGGGCAGCGACACUGCGAGGUGAAGCCAAUCCCGUAAAAUCGGUCUCAGUCCGGAUUGGAGUCUGCAACUCGACUCCAUGAAGUUGGAAUCGCUAGUAAUCGUGGAUCAGCAUGCCACGGUGAAUACGUUCCCGGGCCUU
rnacentral:rRNA from 1 species